rnacentral:rRNA from 1 species
UGAAACAUCUUCGGGUUGUGAGGUUAAGCGACUAAGCGUACACGGUGGAUGCCCUGGCAGUCAGAGGCGAUGAAGGACGUGCUAAUCUGCGAAAAGCGUCGGUAAGGUGAUAUGAACCGUUAUAACCGGCGAUGUCCGAAUGGGGAAACCCAGUGCAAUUCGUUGCACUAUCGUUAACUGAAUACAUAGGUUAACGAGGCGAACCGGGGGAACUGAAACAUCUAAGUACCCCGAGGAAAAGAAAUCAACCGAGAUUCCCCCAGUAGCGGCGAGCGAACGGGGAGCAGCCCAGAGUCUGAAUCAGCUUGUGUGUUAGUGGAACGGUCUGGAAAGUCCGACGGUACAGGGUGAUAGUCCCGUACACCAAAAUGCACAGGCUGUGAACUCGAAGAGUAGGGCGGGACACGUGGUAUCCUGUCUGAAUAUGGGGGGACCAUCCUCCAAGGCUAAAUACUCCUGACUGACCGAUAGUGAACCAGUACCGUGAGGGAAAGGCGAAAAGAACCCCGGCGAGGGGAGUGAAAAAGAACCUGAAACCGUGUACGUACAAGCAGUGGGAGCACCUUCGGGUGUGACUGCGUACCUUUUGUAUAAUGGGUCAGCGACUUAUAUUCUGUAGCAAGGUUAACCGUAUAGGGGAGCCGCAGGGAAACCGAGUCUUAACUGGGCGUUAAGUUGCAGGGUAUAGACCCGAAACCCGGUGAUCUAGCCAUGGGCAGGUUGAAGGUUGGGUAACACUAACUGGAGGACCGAACCGACUAAUGUUGAAAAAUUAGCGGAUGACUUGUGGCUGGGGGUGAAAGGCCAAUCAAACCGGGAGAUAGCUGGUUCUCCCCGAAAGCUAUUUAGGUAGCGCCUCGUGAACUCAUCUUCGGGGGUAGAGCACUGUUUCGGCUAGGGGGUCAUCCCGACUUACCAACCCGAUGCAAACUACGAAUACCGAAGAAUGUUAUCACGGGAGACACACGGCGGGUGCUAACGUCCGUCGUGAAGAGGGAAACAACCCAGACCGCCAGCUAAGGUCCCAAAGUCAUGGUUAAGUGGGAAACGAUGUGGGAAGGCACAGACAGCCAGGAUGUUGGCUUAGAAGCAGCCAUCAUUUAAAGAAAGCGUAAUAGCUCACUGGUCGAGUCGGCCUGCGCGGAAGAUGUAACGGGGCUAAACCAUGCACCGAAGCUGCGGCAGCGACACUAUGUGUUGUUGGGUAGGGGAGCGUUCUGUAAGCCUGCGAAGGUGUGCUGUGAGGCAUGCUGGAGGUAUCAGAAGUGCGAAUGCUGACAUAAGUAACGAUAAAGCGGGUGAAAAGCCCGCUCGCCGGAAGACCAAGGGUUCCUGUCCAACGUUAAUCGGGGCAGGGUGAGUCGACCCCUAAGGCGAGGCCGAAAGGCGUAGUCGAUGGGAAACAGGUUAAUAUUCCUGUACUUGGUGUUACUGCGAAGGGGGGACGGAGAAGGCUAUGUUAGCCGGGCGACGGUUGUCCCGGUUUAAGCAUGUAGGCUGAUUGUCCAGGCAAAUCCGGAUAAUCAAGGCUGAGGUGUGAUGACGAGGCACUACGGUGCUGAAGUAACAAAUGCCCUGCUUCCAGGAAAAGCCUCUAAGCAUCAGGUAACAUCAAAUCGUACCCCAAACCGACACAGGUGGUCAGGUAGAGAAUACCAAGGCGCUUGAGAGAACUCGGGUGAAGGAACUAGGCAAAAUGGUGCCGUAACUUCGGGAGAAGGCACGCUGGUGUGUAGGUGAAGUCCCUGCGGAUGGAGCUGAGACCAGUCGAAGAUACCAGCUGGCUGCAACUGUUUAUUAAAAACACAGCACUGUGCAAACACGAAAGUGGACGUAUACGGUGUGACGCCUGCCCGGUGCCGGAAGGUUAAUUGAUGGGGUUAUCCGUAAGGAGAAGCUCUUGAUCGAAGCCCCGGUAAACGGCGGCCGUAACUAUAACGGUCCUAAGGUAGCGAAAUUCCUUGUCGGGUAAGUUCCGACCUGCACGAAUGGCGUAAUGAUGGCCAGGCUGUCUCCACCCGAGACUCAGUGAAAUUGAACUCGCUGUGAAGAUGCAGUGUACCCGCGGCAAGACGGAAAGACCCCGUGAACCUUUACUAUAGCUUGACACUGAACAUUGAGCCUUGAUGUGUAGGAUAGGUGGGAGGCUUUGAAGCGUGGACGCCAGUCUGCGUGGAGCCAACCUUGAAAUACCACCCUUUAAUGUUUGAUGUUCUAACGUUGGCCCCUGACCGGGGUUGCGGACAGUGUCUGGUGGGUAGUUUGACUGGGGCGGUCUCCUCCCAAAGCGUAACGGAGGAGCACGAAGGUUAGCUAAUCCUGGUCGGACAUCAGGAGGUUAGUGCAAUGGCAUAAGCUAGCUUGACUGCGAGCGUGACGGCGCGAGCAGGUGCGAAAGCAGGUCAUAGUGAUCCGGUGGUUCUGAAUGGAAGGGCCAUCGCUCAACGGAUAAAAGGUACUCCGGGGAUAACAGGCUGAUACCGCCCAAGAGUUCAUAUCGACGGCGGUGUUUGGCACCUCGAUGUCGGCUCAUCACAUCCUGGGGCUGAAGUAGGUCCCAAGGGUAUGGCUGUUCGCCAUUUAAAGUGGUACGCGAGCUGGGUUUAGAACGUCGUGAGACAGUUCGGUCCCUAUCUGCCGUGGGCGCUGGAGAAUUGAGGGGGGCUGCUCCUAGUACGAGAGGACCGGAGUGGACGCAUCACUGGUGUUCGGGUUGUCAUGCCAAUGGCACUGCCCGGUAGCUAAAUGCGGAAGAGAUAAGUGCUGAAAGCAUCUAAGCACGAAACUUGCCCCGAGAUGAGUUCUCCCUGAGACUAUAAGUCUCCUGAAGGAACGUUAAAGACCGACGACGUUGAUAGGCCGGGUGUGUAAGCGCAGCGAUGCGUUGAGCUAACCGGUACUAAUGAACCGUGAGGCUUAACCUU